rnacentral:lncRNA from 10 species
GCUGGUUUGGUGAGAAGCCGAAGGAGAGAGAGAUGUGAUUGACUAGAAAAGCCAGAUUUGUGAGAUCUAGAAAGCAGCUAUGUUUCAGUCACAUCCUGCUUCUUUUCCCAGAAGAGUUACAGGUAGAUAGAACCCUGAUUAAAAACAUAGGAGGAUCCACCUCUUCCUACUUUUCCUAUUUUUGGUCUUACUAUUCCUUUUAUCCAAGCUCUGUGGCUUACAUGAAUUCCAUAGCACCAUUUCCCCUUAGAGAAAGGAAGAUGAAUUUGGGGUUGAAAGACUUGAAAUGGAAUCCUCCUUUGCCACGUACAAAUCUGUGUGGCUCUGGGUUCCAAAGGAGGAGUCAAAGCGGCUGUAAUCUUGAUUCGGUUUUAUGGGCAAUAGAAUUAUUUUACUGAUUCCUGGAAUCAUGGCUCCUAUACAUCUGCACUCUAUGAGCACUUUGGAAAUUAAAGGAUUGCCAGCUUUUCCACUUUGGGACAAAAAACAUUUGUGCUAAACAGCCGCAGCUCCACCUUGCAGAGAUGCUGUCAAAUAUGCACAAGCUCUUAUAUUAUCAGUGUCUUCCCAAGAUGAAGCCAAGUCCUGAUGAGCUGAAGCUAAGAGUUCUUUUCAUCUUGACAUACUGGCAGCCAGCUAACCCAACCAUGGCCCUAUUUUCUCCAACCAUUACUAAACAUGUGGAUGUGAUGGUGGAGCUGGAAUAGCUGUGACUUGGGGAAUGGAGGCCACAAAUGGCACAGCAACAGGAAGAAAGAAGCCUUGAUCUUUGAUAAGUUGAGUAUUCUAACUCAUUUGGAAUGCUUAUGUUUAGACUCCUAUUUAAAAGAUAAAUAAAUAUCGAUCUGUUAUUGGAUUUUUUGUCCCUGACCACCAAACCUAAUCAUAACUGACAUAGUCAAUGCUGCUUUUACUCUACUGGUAAAGCCAGUGAUCCUUUGAAACUCAUGUUAUUUGCCUAAAUCAUCUUCAACCACGCCUCAUUGCUGAUCUUUGCUGACCUUUUUUAUGCCCACUAAUCCUUUGAAGACCUCAGUAUCUUCAAUAUCCAUAUCCAUUUAGAAAAUAUAUUGAUUACAUUGGCUUCUCAAUUUUUAUUCUUCUUAAUUCCUUCAAUGUUUUCCAUUUGUAUCAAUCAGGAUACAAUUAGCUAUGUGACUAACAAACAACCCCCAAAUUUCAGUUGCUUAUAGUAUCAAAGGUUUAUUUUUUGUUCCUGUUGCAGGGCAUUCAUGUGUUUUCUUCACUCCAGUGCCCAUGCUGACUUUGCCUCUAAUUGGGAUAUUGCUACUCUUGUGGGAGAG